rnacentral:rRNA from 1 species
GACGGAAGGUGCAAGCGUUGCUCGGAAUCACUGGGCGUAAAGGGUGCGUAGGCGGCUUCUUAAGUCUGGUGUGAAAGCCCAGGGCUCAGCUCUGGAAGUGCACUAGAUACUGGGAAGCUUGAGUACCGGAGGGGAGAGUGGAAUUCCUGGUGUAGCGGUGAAAUGCGUAGAGAUCGGGAGGAAGGCCGGGUGGCGAAGGCGGCGCUCUGGAACAUUUCUGACGGCUGAGGCUCGAAAGCGUGGGGAGCAAACAGGG